rnacentral:rRNA from 1 species
UACAGAGGGUGCAAACGUUGCUCGGAAUUAUUGGGCGUAAAGCGCGUGUAGGCGGUUUGCUAAGUCGGCUGUGAAGGCCCAUGGCUCAACCAUGGAAGUGCAGCCGAAACUGGUAGGCUUGAGUCCUGGAGAGGGUGGCGGAAUGCCCAGUGUAGAGGUGAAAUUCGUAGAUAUUGGGUAGAACACCGGUGGCGAAGGCGGCCACCUGGACAGCGACUGACGCUAAGACGCGAAAGCGUGGGGAGCGAACAGG